GGACCCGCACAAGUAGUGGAGCAUGUGGUUUAAUUCGAAGAUACGCGCAGAACCUUACCAACACUUGACAUGUUCGUCGCGACUUUGAGAGAUCAAAGUUUUCGGUUCGGCCGGACGAAACACAGGUGCUGCAUGGCUGUCGUCAGCUCGUGUCGUGAGAUGUUGGGUUAAGUCCCGCAACGAGCGCAACCCUCACUUUUAGUUGCCAUCAUUAAGUUGGGCACUCUGAAAGAACUGCCAGUGAUAAGCUGGAGGAAGGUGGGGAUGACGUCAAGUCCUCAUGGCCCUUACGUGUUGGGCUACACACGUGCUACAAUGGUAUCUACAACAGGAAGCAAAACUGCGAAGUUAAGCAAAUCCUUAAAAGAUACCUCAGUUCGGAUUGCACUCUGCAACUCGAGUGCAUGAAGCUGGAAUUACUAGUAAUCGU
rnacentral:rRNA from 1 species